rnacentral:rRNA from 1 species
GGACUCUGUAGUUGGGCACGACCCGACUACGCUGGUGGCGACCGUCGAGGCCGUGCAGGAGGCACGGUGCUCUAUGGUCGGCCACGCCGCAACCCCGACGCACUCGGGGUCCAUCGAGUCCGUGCGGGAGGCACGACUCACGAUUGUCAAGGGAGACCCGACAAGCAAGCCUGAUGGGAAGAGCACCAAGGACUCCACUACCCUGAGAGGAGCCACUCCGGUCAGUGUGGCGUCUGGCACAACGACCCCGGGAAGGGAGUUUCCGGGCAGUGCGGCGUCCGGCACGACGACCCCAGGAAGGGAGUUCCUGGGUAGUGCGAUGUCCAACAAGUCAUCCCCGGGAAGGGAGUUCCUGGGUAGCAUGACGUCCAACACGACGACCCCGGGAAAGGAGUUCCUGGGCAGUGUGACAUCAGGAACUACGACCCCAGGAACACUGACGCCCACGAGCGAGGUG